GACGAACGCUGGCGGCGUGCCUAACACAUGCAAGUCGAACGAAGUUCUUAUGGAAUGCGACUUCGGUCAAAUGAAGUUUGAACUUAGUGGCGGACGGGUGAGUAACGCGUGAGCAACCUGCCUUUCAGAGGGGGAUAACGUUUGGAAACGAACGCUAAUACCGCAUAACGUAUCGGAACCGCACGAUUCUGAUACCAAAGGAGCAAUCCGCUGAAAGAUGGGCUCGCGUCCGAUUAGGUAGUUGGUGGGGUAACGGCCUACCAAGCCGACGAUCGGUAGCCGGACUGAGAGGUUGAACGGCCACAUUGGGACUGAGACACGGCCCAG
rnacentral:rRNA from 1 species